GUCAACGGUCAUACCACGCUGAAAACACCAGUUCUCGUCCGAUCACUGCAGUUAAGCAGCAUUGGGCACGGUUUAAAAACACCCACCUUCACACCCCCGUGGGAC
rnacentral:rRNA from 1 species